CGAAGCUGGAAUCGCUAGUAAUCGCGGAUCAGCACGCCGCGGUGAAUACGUUCCCGGGCCUUGUACACACCGCCCGUCACACCAUGAGAGUCUGUAACACCCAAAGCCGGUGGGAUAACCUUUAUAGGAGUCAGCCGUCUAAGGUAGGACAGAUGAUUAGGGUGAAGUCGUAACAAGGUAGC
rnacentral:rRNA from 1 species